AUUGAACGCUGGCGGCAGGCCUAAUACAUGCAAGUCGAGCGGAGUGGCGUACGGGUGAGUAAUGCCUAGGAAUCUGCCUGGCAGCGGGGGAUAACGUCCGGAAACGGGCGCUAAUACCGCAUACUAUCAGAUUAGCCUAGGUCGGAUUAGCUGGUUGGUGGGGUAAAGGCAUACCAGGGCGACGAUCCGUAACUGGUCUGAGAGGGUGAUCAGUCAAACGGGAACUGAGACCCGGUCCAGACUCCUACGGGAGGCAGCAGUGGGGAAUAUUGGACAAUGGGCGAAAGCUUGAUCCAGCCAUGCCGCGUGUGUGAAGAAGGUCUUCGGAUUGUAAAGCACUUUAAGUUAGGAGGCGUUACCAACAGAAUAAGCACCGGCUAACUUCGUGCCAGCCGCCGCGGUAAUUC
rnacentral:rRNA from 1 species